UACGUAGGGGGGCUAGCGUUGUCCGGAUUUAUUGGGCGUAAAGAGCGUGUAGGCGGCCAGGUAGGUCUGGUGUGAAAACUCGAGGCUUAACCUCGAGAUGUCAUCGGAAACCAUCUGGCUAGAGUCCGGAAGAGGAGAGCGGAAUUCCUGGUGUAGCGGUGAAAUGCGCAGAUAUCAGGAAGAACACCAAUGGCGAAAGCAGCUCUCUGGGACGGUACUGACGCUGAGACGCGAAAGCGUGGGGAGCGAACAGG
rnacentral:rRNA from 1 species